AACGAACGCUGGCGGCAUGCCUAACACAUGCAAGUCGAACGAGAUCUUCGGGUCUAGUGGCGCACGGGUGCGUAACGCGUGGGAAUCUGCCCUUUGGUUCGGAAUAACAGUUGGAAACGACUGCUAAUAUCGGAUGAUGACGAAAGUCCAAAGAUUUAUCGCCAGAGGAUGAGCCCGCGUAGGAUUAGCUAGUUGGUGUGGUAAAGGCGCACCAAGGCGACGAUCCUUAGCUGGUCUGAGAGGAUGAUCAGCCACACUGGGACUGAGACACGGCCCAGACUCCUACGGGAGGCAGCAGUGGGGAAUAUUGGACAAUGGGCGAAAGCCUGAUCCAGCAAUGCCGCGUGAGUGAUGAAGGCCUUAGGGUUGUAAAGCUCUUUUACCCGGGAUGAUAAUGACAGUACCGGGAGAAUAAGCUCCGGCUAACUCCGUGCCAGCAGCCGCAGUAA
rnacentral:rRNA from 1 species